rnacentral:rRNA from 1 species
UACGUAGGGUGCGAGCGUUAAUCGGAAUUACUGGGCGUAAAGCAUGCGCAGGCGGUUUGUUAAGACAGGUGUGAAAUCCCCGGGCUUAACCUGGGAAUGGCGCUUGUAACUGGCAGGCUAGAGUGUGUCAGAGGGAGGUAGAAUUCCACGUGUAGCAGUGAAAUGCGUAGAGAUGUGGAGGAAUACCGAUGGCGAAGGCAGCCUCCUGGGAUAACACUGACGCUCAUGCACGAAAGCGUGGGGAGCAAACAGG